CAGUCGAGCGAUUCUCUUCGGAGAAGAGCGGCGGACGGGUGAGUAACGCUGUGGGUAACCUGCCCUGUACACACGGAUAACAUACCGAAAGGUAUGCUAAUACGGGAUAACAUAAGAAAUUCGCAUGUUUUUCUUAUCAAAGCUCCGGCGGUACAGGAUGGACCCGCGUCUGAUUAGCUAGUUGGUGAGGUAACGGCUCACCAAGGCGACGAUCAGUAGCCGACCUGAGAGGGUGAUCGGCCACAUUGGAACUGAGACACGGUCCAAACUCCUACGGGAGGCAGCAGUGGGGAAUAUUGCACAAUGGGCGAAAGCCUGAUGCAGCAACGCCGCGUGAGCGAUGAAGGCCUUCGGGUCGUAAAGCUCUGUCCUCAAGGAAGAUAAUGACGGUACUUGAGGAGGAAGCCCCGGCUAACUACGUGCCAGCAGCCGCGGUAAUACGUAGGGGGCUAGCGUUAUCCGGAUUUACUGGGCGUAAAGGGUGCGUAGGCGGUCUUUUAAGUCAGGAGUGAAAGGCUACGGCUCAACCGUAGUAAGCUCUUGAAACUGGAGGACUUGAGUGCAGGAGAGGAGAGUGGAAUUCCUAGUGUAGCGGUGAAAUGCGUAGAUAUUAGGAGGAACACCAGUAGCGAAGGCGGCUCUCUGGACUGUAACUGACGCUGAGGCAUGAAAGCGUGGGGAGCAAACAGGAUUAGAUACCCUGGUAGUCCACGCCGUAAACGAUGAGUACUAGCUGUCGGAGGUUACCCCCUUCGGUGGCGCAGCUAACGCAUUAAGUACUCCGCCUGGGGAGUACGCUCGCAAGAGUGAAACU
rnacentral:rRNA from 1 species